GACGAACGCUGGCGGCGUGCCUAAUACAUGCAAGUUGAGCGCUGAAGGUUGGUACUUGUACCAACUGGAUGAGCAGCGAACGGGUGAGUAACGCGUGGGGAAUCUGCCUUUGAGCGGGGGACAACAUUUGGAAACGAAUGCUGAUACCGCAUAAAAACUUUAAACACAAGUUUUAAGUUUGAAAGAUGCAAUUGCAUCACUCAAAGAUGAUCCCGCGUUGUAUUAGCUAGUUGGUGAGGUAAAGGCUCACCAAGGCGAUGAUACAUAGCCGACCUGAGAGGGUGAUCGGCCACAGUGGGACUGAGACACGGCCCAAACUCCUACGGGAGGCAGCAGUAGGGAAUCUUCGGCAAUGGACGAAAGUCUGACCGAGCAACGCCGCGUGAGUGAAGAAGGUUUUCGGAUCGUAAAACCCUGUUGGUAGAGAAGAACGUUGGUGAGAGUGGAAAGCUCAUCAAGUGACGGUAACUACCCAGAAAGGGACGGCUAACUACGUG
rnacentral:rRNA from 1 species